AAAACAUGGUCACCAGCAGAGCGACCUUCCCUUCACCUCCCAGCUAAUGAGAUACUAACACUAACGUCUACUGCUGGACGUACAUUUGCAAGUGCUCAAAAUCCUAUGGAUUUAUACUUUGUUCCUGCAAGAUUUCCAACCCAGUUUUGCAGAACCAAGCCAUCUGGAGAAGCGUAUUUAUGAACAGAGCAACAUGGAGAUGCAGCUGCUGGAGCCCUUUGUUCUGCUUAAGUACAAGACACCAAGAAAGACAGACUAUAUAUAACCAUACAACUGUGUUGCAUUAAAGGUACUGAGG